rnacentral:tRNA from 1 species
GGACCUUUAGCUCAGUUGGUUAGAGCAACCGGCUCAUAACCGGUCGGUCCUGGGUUCGAGUCCGCGAAGGUCCA